GCCCCAGUAGUUUAUCUAAAACAUUGUCCUUGUAAGCCAAAGUAGGGCUCGCCCUUGGGGCU
rnacentral:tRNA from 1 species